ACAUCCAGAGAACUUAGCAGAGAUUGCUUUGGUGCCUUCGGGAACUCUGAGACAGGUGCUGCAUGGCUGUCGUCAGCUCGUGUUGUGAAAUGUUGGGUUAAGUCCCGCAACGAGCGCAACCCUUUAUCCUUUGUUGCCAGCGAUUCGGUCGGGAACUCAAAGGGGACUGCCGGUGAUAAACCGGAGGAAGGUGGGGAUGACGUCAAGUCAUCAUGGCCCUUACGGCCAGGGCUACACACGUGCUACAAUGGCGCAUACAAAGAGAAGCGACCUCGCGAGAGCAAGCGGACCUCAUAAAGUGCGUCGUAGUCCGGAUUGGAGUCUGCAACUCGACUCCAUGAAGUCGGAAUCGCUAGUAAUCGUAGAUCAGAAUGCUACGGUGAAUACGUUCCCGGGCCUUGUACACACCGCCCGUCACACCAUGGGAGUGGGUUGCAAAAGAAGUAGGUAGCUUAACCUUCGGGAGGGCGCUUACCACUUUGUGAUUCAUGACUGGGGUGAAGUCGUAACAAGGUAAGCGUAGUGCU
rnacentral:rRNA from 1 species